GGCAGCGCGGAGGCAACCCUGGCGGCGAGCGGCGGACGGGUGAGGAAUGCAUCGGAUCUACCCUGAUGUGGGGGAUAACGUAGGGAACCUUACGCUAAUACCGCAUACGACCUACGGGUGAAAGCGGGGGACCUUCGGCCUCGCGCAGCAGGAUGAGCCGAUGCCGGAUUAGCUAGUUGGUGGGGUAAAGGCCCACCAAGGCGACGAUCCCGUAGCUGGUCUGAGAGGAUGAUCAGCCACACUGGGACUGAGACACGGCCCAGACUCCUACGGGAGGCAGCAGUGGGGAAUAUUGGACAAUGGGCGCAAGCCUGAUCCAGCCAUGCCGCGUGUGUGAAGAAGGCUUCGGGUUGUAAAGCACUUUUGUACGGGAAGAAAUCGUUUGGGUUAAUACCUGAGCGGAUGACGUACCGUAAGA
rnacentral:rRNA from 1 species